GUAAUCAGCCGGACGGUCGCGUUUUAGUAUCGAUAUGAUACUAAACCGAGGAAAGUCCGGGCUCUGUGGGUAGAUCGCCAGAUAACACCUGGGCUUCAGAGGAGCGAUCCUCUGUUGACGGCCAGUGCCACAGAAAACAAACCGCCGCUCUUUUGAGCGGUAAGGGUGAAAAGGUGGAGUAAGAGCCCACCGCGUUGGUGGUAACACGAACGGCACGGUAAACCCCGGUUGGAGCAAGGCCAAGUAAGCGGCGAGAGCACCCACCUCGAUCAAGACGCCGCGGGUAGGCUGCUAGAGAGUGCGAGUGAUCGCACUUCGAGAGAAAUGACCGUCACGGUGGUUUAUUCCACCGGACAGAACCCGGCUUACAGGCUGAUUACGCAC
rnacentral:RNase_P_RNA from 1 species